rnacentral:rRNA from 1 species
UACAGAGGGUGCGAGCGUUAAUCGGAAUUACUGGGCGUAAAGGGUGCGUAGGUGGGUUGGUAAGUCAGUGGUGAAAUACUUUCGCUUAACGAAGGAACUGCCAUUGAUACUACCAGUCUUGAAUACAGUGGAGGUAGGCGGAAUGCGUCAUGUAGCGGUGAAAUGCUUAGAUAUGACGCAGAACACCAAUUGCGAAGGCAGCUUGCUACACUGUUAUUGACACUGAGGCACGAAAGCGUGGGGAUCAAACAGG